GCAUAUCAAUAAGCGGAGGAAAAGAAACCAACAGGGAUUGCCCUUMGUAACGGCGAAGUGAAGCGGCAACAGCUCAAAUUUGAAAUCUGGCUCUCGGGCCCGAAGUUGUAAUUUGUAGAGGAUACUUUUGAUGCGGUGCCUUCCGAGUUCCCUGGAACGGGACGCCAUAGAGGGUGAGAGCCCCGUCUGGUUGGAUGCCAAAUCUCUGUAAAGUUCCUUCGACGAGUCGAGUAGUUUGGGAAUGCUGCUCUAAAUGGGAGGUAUAUGUCUUCUAAAGCUAAAUACCGGCCAGAGACCGAUAGCGCACAAGUAGAGUGAUCGAAAGAUGAAAAGCACUUUGAAAAGAGAGUUAAAAAGUACGUGAAAUUGUUGAAAGGGAAGCGUUUAUGACCAGACUUGGGCUUGGUUAAUCAUCUGGGGUUCUCCCCAGUGCACUUUUCCAGUCCAGGCCAGCAUCAGUUUUCCCCGGGGGAUAAAGACUUCGGGAAUGUGGCUCUCUUCGGGGAGUGUUAUAGCCCGUUGUGUAAUACCCUGGGGGGGACUGAGGUUCGCGCAUCUGCAAGGAUGCUGGCGUAAUGGUCAUCAACGACCCGUCUUGAAACACGGACCAAGGAGUCGUCUUCGUAUGCGAGUGUUCGGGUGUCAAACCCCUACGCGUAAUGAAAGUGAACGCAGGUGAGAGCUUCGGCGCAUCAUCGACCGAUCCUGAUGUUCUCGGAUGGAUUUGAGUAAGAGCAUACGGGGCCGGACCCGAAAGAAGGUGAACUAUGCCUGUAUAGGGUGAAGCCAGAGGAAACUUCUGGUGGAGGCUCGCAGCGGUUUCUGACGUGCAAAUCGAUCGUCAAAUAUGGGCAUGGGGGCGAAAGACUAAUCGAACCUUCUAGUAGCUGGUUUCGC
rnacentral:rRNA from 1 species